rnacentral:rRNA from 1 species
GAUGAACGCUGGCGGCGUGCCUAAUACAUGCAAGUCGAGCGAAUGGAUUAAGAGCUUGCUCUUAUGAAGUUAGCGGCGGACGGGUGAGUAACACGUGGGUAACCUGCCCAUAAGACUGGGAUAACUCCGGGAAACCGGGGCUAAUACCGGAUAACAUUUUGAACCACAUGGUUCGAAAUUGAAAGGCGGCUUCGGCUGUCACUUAUGGAUGGACCCGCGUCGCAUUAGCUAGUUGGUGAGGUAACGGCUCACCAAGGCAACGAUGCGUAGCCGAGCUGAGAGGGUGAUCGGCCACACUGGGACUGAGACACGGCCCAGACUCCUACGGGAGGCAGCAGUAGGGAAUCUUCCGCAAUGGACGAAAGUCUGACGGAGCAACGCCGCGUGAGUGAUGAAGGCUUUCGGGUCGUAAAACUCUGUUGUUAGGGAAGAACAAGUGCUAGUUGAAUAAGCUGGCACCUUGACGGUACCUAACCAGAAAGCCACGGCUAACUACGCGCCAGCAGCCGCCGUAA